rnacentral:lncRNA from 1 species
GUCCGACCCCUCCCCGCGCCCUGACCACGAACGCAUCCCUGACUUAACCGCCACACUCGGGCCGUGAGCGCCUGCCAGCAGGGCCUUCCGCCACACACACACACACACACACCGCAAGCAGCGGCGACCAGGGCAGGAGCCCACUCCCCGCCACCUGCAGGCGUCGGACCCGAAGUCCACGAGCCGGAACUCAGAGCAGGAGCCGAAGGACCCCAGCGCAGAAUCCGUGGAGGCGCACGGCUUCAUCCACCGCGCUCCCAGAUGGGGUCCCAGCCCAGAUCCGGCCACGAAGACACAGGCAACCCCGGCCUGGGUUUCCUGUUCCAUGAGCUCCAGGAAGGCGACAGUCAGUGCUUGUCUGGGGACCCGGACCGAUGCGAAGGCUGUAGGGACUUUGGUGACUGAAGCUGGAGGAGACGAGGAGAAGAAAAUACGGUCCAAACCCGAGCAGGGAGCUGGAGCAGAAGAAGAAAGUCACUUCUGUGCGGGAGCUGCCGACCCCACGAUCAAGGAUAACCAGAAGCGCGGCGGUGGCGACCAGGAGCCCUCGCAGCAGCAGCCUGAGGCUUCCAGCCCAGGACUCCUCCGCGGAGGAGCCACAACCCCAAUAUUAGCGGCGUCUCUUCAGCCCCAGUGCGUUCAGCAGGUUGCACCUGAAGGAGCUAGACAGCAUUUUCCCACGCUCUGAAUAUCUCGACGUGUUCGCUCGAAAGCAGCUUGCAAUCUGCAUGGAUGUGAGUGAAGCCGAAGUGGAAGCCAGUAAGCCUGAUGAAAGCAAUUGGUCAGAGUAGCCACUCUCUGAAACCUGCCUCAGUCCUUGAAUACCUUUGUCCUACACAUUCUCCAAUUGGCCUGUUUUUGUUGCCUUUUCUAUGUUUGCCAAGUGAGUUUUGAACUUUAGCGGGGGAAUAAUGGGAUACAUAAACCUUAGCCUAUGGAAAUUUCCCAUUACCAGAGGGAAUAUGCUUUCUAAUGCGAAACAGAACUAAACUGUUACUUCUAUUUCCUGUACAAGGUUAAGUGUAAAUAAAGUUCCAUUCCUUCUAACAAUGGUAUCCUUUAGAGAACACUUCUGUGUGGAGUUAUGUUGGGACUGAGUCUGACUUGAGGAGUUUGCAAAUUAAUGCACCAAGGACCCAUAUUGUGAGAAGGUUCAACUGUAUUUAAAAUAUUUAAACCAGGCUAUGUUCUUAGCUAAAUGACCAAAUUUAUAAAUAUUCAGGCAUUGGGAUAAGGGAAUAAGUUACAUACAGAAAGAACACAUUAUAUGAGUAAUUAAUGUAUGUUUAGUUUCACUGAGACUUAUGGGGAGGACAUAGCUUAAAAGUCCAAGUGCCUGGUAGUCCUGCUGUUGUUUUUAAGGGUCUGAUGAAGCCAUGUAGAAAGUGGCAGCCCGCAAUUUUGAUUUUCUCCAAUACUUUUAUUUGUAAGCCGGAAUACACUGCUAAUAUACUUGCAUUACACUGGGGGUGUGGGGGGGCAGGUUUGCAAACAGGAAAUUUGUUUAAAAAUUGGAAUAAAAAAGAACAAUUUUGAAAAAGUUUUCACUUAACUAAGAAGGGUGAAAAGGUUAAAGAAAAAUUGCAUACACUCAAAUAUAUACCUUGAAGGUAUGGCACAAAUGGAGCUCUAUGAGGGAAUAUUCUCUUUAGGAAUUUCUGACAACUAAGAAGUUUUUUUUAUGUUACUGUUUUAAACUGGUGGGUUUUAUGUAAUUUGUUUGGUGGUGGGGUGGGGCACGCUCAAUUUAGACCAGGUUCUUACCUGUGCUAAUUUGAAAUGGUUUUUCAUUUUCCCAGGCAGUGGUGAUUAAUUUGUAAGUCAUGAGAUCAAGAAAUUACUAAGAUUCCUUCAGUAUUAUUGACUGAGUAUAUUUUCAAAACAAAGAGAAAAUCCAGGAUUAGGUUAUGAGCAGUGCUGUGCAGUUCAUGUGAGUGCAGUGAUGGGCCCCCCAUGACUAAGCCUUUUUUUUCAGACCAUCUUUUUCACUCUCAAGAGUUUUCAGAGGAUGAAGUCUGG